CAAGUGACCCCGGUCUAACCACCGGGAUGUUCAUAACCCUUUGUUGUCCGACUCUGUUGCCUCCGGGGCGACCCUGCCUUCGGGCGGGGGCUCCGGGUGGACACUUCAAACUCUUGCGUAACUUUGCAGUCUGAGUAAACUUAAUUAAUAAAUUA
rnacentral:misc_RNA from 3 species